UACGUAGGGUGCAAGCGUUGUCCGGAAUUAUUGGGCGUAAAGAGCUCGUAGGCGGUUAGUCGCGUCUGCUGUGAAAACUCGGGGCUUAACUCCGGGCCUGCAGUGGGUACGGGCUGACUAGAGUGCGGUAGGGGAGACUGGAAUUCCUGGUGGAGCGGUGAAAUGCGCAGAUAUCAGGAGGAACACCCGUAGCGAAGGCGGCACUCUGGGCCGAUACUGACACUGAGGAGCGAAAGCGUGGGGAGCGAACAGG
rnacentral:rRNA from 1 species